AGAGUUUGAUCCUGGCUCAGGAUUAACGCUGGCGGCGUGCCUAACACAUGCAAGUCGAGCGGCAGCGAGUUUUACACUGAAUUCUGGAAGCUUCUGGUUUGAAGAGAAGAUUUAUUCAAGAAUUUUGUGUAAAAUGUCGGCGAGCGGCGGACGGCUGAGUAACGCGUGGGAACGUACCCCAAAGUGAGGGAUAACGCAUCGAAAGGUGUGCUAAUACCGCAUAUGGUCUUCGGAUUAAAGCCUUCGGGCGCUUUGGGAACGGCCUGCGUAAGAUUAGAUAGUUGGUGGGGUAAUGGCCUACCAAGUCGACGAUCUUUAACUGGUUUGAGAGGAUGAUCAGUCAGACUGGAACUGAGACACGGUCCAGACUCCUACGGGAGGCAGCAGUGAGGAAUCUUCCACAAUGGGCGAAAGCCUGAUGGAGCAACGCCGCGUGCAGGAUGAAGGCCUUCGGGUUGUAAACUGCUUUUAUAAGUGAGGAUUAUGACAGUAACUUAUGAAUAAGGAUCGGCUAACUACGUGCCAGCAGCCGCGGUCAUACGUAGGAUCCGAGCGUUAUCCGGAGUGACUGGGCGUAAAGAGUUGCGUAGGUGGUUCGAUAAGCGAAUAGUGAAAUCUGGUGGCUCAACCAUUCAGACUAUUAUUCGAACUGUUGAACUCGAGAGCAGAAGAGGUAGCUGGAAUUUCUAGUGUAGGAGUGAAAUCCGUAGAUAUUAGAAGGAACACCGAUGGCGUAGGCAGGCUACUGGGCUGUUUCUGACACUGAGGCACGAAAGCGUGGGGAGCGAACCGGAUUAGAUACCCGGGUAGUCCACGCCGUAAACGAUGGAUACUAGCUGUUUGGGGUAUCGACCCCCUGAGUAGCGAAGCUAACGCGUUAAGUAUCCCGCCUGUGGAGUACGAUCGCAAGAUUAAAACAUAAAGGAAUUGACGGGGACCCGCACAAGCGGUGGAUCAUGUUCUUUAAUUCGAUGAUAACCGAUAAACCUUACCAGGUCUUGACAUCCUUGGAAUCUUUCAGAAAUGAGAGAGUGCUUUUUAAGAGCCAAGUGACAGGUGAUGCAUGGCCGUCGUCAGCUCGUGUCGUGAGAUGUUUGGUUAAGUCCAUCAACGAGCGCAACCCUUGUCAGUAGUUGUAUUUUUCUACUGAGACUGCCCCGGCAACGGGGAGGAAGGAGGGGAUGACGUCAGGUCAGUAUUUCCCUUACGUCCUGGGCUAGAAACGUGAUACAAUGGCUAGUACAAUGCGCAGCGAAGCCGCGAGGUGAAGCAAAUCGCAUCAAAGCUAGUCCCAGUUCGGAUUGUAGGCUGAAACUCGCCUGCAU
rnacentral:rRNA from 1 species